ACCUGCAUGAGUGAUGUAACGACUUCCCCACUGUCUCCAGAAUUGGUUCAGUGAAAUUGCAAUUUCCGUGAAGAUGCGGAGUAUUUAUGGCUAGACGGAGAGACCCUGUGCACCUUCACUAUAAUUUUAUAUUGUAAGAAAAAAUCAAAUGUGUAGAAUAAUUGUUAUGUUUAUGAUUCCUUCUAAAUAGAGGAGACGACUGUGAAAUUACAAUCUUUUGAUUUUGGACAACUUAUUCUUUGGAAGAAAGUAUAUGAUGGGUAGUUUAGCUGGGGCGGCUUCCUCCUAAAAAGUAACGGAGGAGUACAUAAGGUAAUAUCUAGUUGGUUUUUACUAACUUAAGAGCGUAAUGGUUAAUAUUACUUGACUGAAAGAUUUAUGAAUCUAACAGGGAUUUUAGGUCGGUCAUAGUGAUCCGGUGAUUCUGUGUGGAAAGAUCAUCGCCAACGGAUAAAAGGUACGCCAGGGAUAACAGGCUAAUGACUCUUGAGAGACCUUAUCGAUGGGGUAGUUUGGCACCUGAUGUCGACUCAUCG
rnacentral:rRNA from 1 species